CAGCCGCCGCGGUAAUACGUAGGGUGCAAGCGUUAAUCGGAAUUACUGGGCGUAAAGCGUGCGCAGGCGGUUUGUUAAGACAGAUGUGAAAUCCCCGGGCUCAACCUGGGAACUGCAUUUGUGACUGGCAAGCUAGAGUAUGGCAGAGGGGGGUGGAAUUCCGCGUGUAGCAGUGAAAUGCGUAGAUAUGUGGAGGAAUACCGAUGGCGAAGGCAGCCCCUUGGGCCAAUACUGACGCUCAUGCACGAAAGCGUGGGGAGCAAACAGGAUUAGAUACCCCGGUAGUCCCUGUCUCUUAUAC
rnacentral:rRNA from 1 species